rnacentral:rRNA from 1 species
AUGGCUUCCCCCGCGGCGGCGGCGCCGCCAACGGAGCCCGAAAGGUGGAGAGACCUGGACAUGCUCCUCUCCCGCCCCGGCAACCUCGUCCACUCCACCUUCGAUCCCAGCCCCGGGCUGCGGGACCUUAUUGGGAGCUACGUCGAGGUGCUGGUGGUGGGGGCGGGCGGGCUGGGCUGCGAGCUCCUCAAGGACCUCGCCCUCUCCGGGUUCAAGAACCUGCACGUCAUCGACAUGGACACCAUCGACGUCUCCAACCUCAACCGCCAGUUCCUCUUCAGGAUUCAAGAUGUUGGGAAGCCCAAGGCUGAAGUAGCUGCGAAGAGGGUUAUGGAGCGAGUUAGUGGAGUGAACAUUGUGCCCCAUUUUUGUAGGAUUGAAGAUAAAGAGCUAGAGUUCUAUAAUCAGUUCCAAAUAAUUGUUCUUGGUCUGGACUCAAUUGAAGCUCGAAGCUACAUCAAUUCUGUGGCUUGUGGUUUCUUAGAGUAUGACUCAGACGACAGACCAGUCCAGGAGACAGUUAAACCUAUGGUAGAUGGUGGGACAGAAGGUUUCAAAGGUCACGCUAGAGUCAUUAUACCAGGGAUGACGCCUUGCUUUGAAUGCAACAUAUGGCUUUUUCCUCCCCAGGUCAAGUUUCCCUUAUGUACCCUUGCUGAGACUCCAAGAACUGCAGCUCAUUGCAUUGAGUAUGCUCAUUUGAUCAAAUGGGACGAGGUUCACAGUGGAAAACCUUUUGAUGCUGAUGAUACAGAACAUAUGCAGUGGAUUUAUUCAGAGGCUUUAAAGAGAGCAGAACUUUUUGGUAUUUCCGGAGUUACGUAUUCUUUGACUCAGGGUGUUGUCAAGAAUAUCAUCCCAGCUAUUGCUUCAACGAAUGCAAUUAUUUCUGCUGCGUGUGCACUUGAAGCUUUGAAGCUCGUCUCUGGCUGCAGCAAAAGCGUGUCAAAUUAUCUCACGUACAAUGGUCUUGUAGGAACUCAUAUUAAAGUCACAGAGUUUGUUAGAGAUACAGAUUGCCUUGUAUGUGGGCCUGGUACCCUUAUUGAGCUGGAUACGUCAUCGACACUUUCGGAGUUCAUCAAGAUGCUUGAGGAGCACCCCAAACUGCUGAUGUCAAAAGCUAGCGUAACGCACGGAGGCAACAAUCUGUACAUGCAGUCGCCAGAAGUUCUUGAGCAGAUGACACGGCCAAACCUGAGCAUCCCCAUGUUUGAGCUCCUUAAAGGAACCCCAUUUGCUACUGUGCAUGUUAGUGGUAUGGCGGAGAGCAAUGGGAAGAAAGUGUCAUCGCUGAGGAAGCUGCGUGUAGCCUUCAAGGGCGUCGAGGAAGCUUCGAAGAUGGAUACAACUGAGAGCUCGUGA